UCUUCGGCAAUGGACGAAAGUCUGACCGAGCAACGCCGCGUGAGUGAAGAAGGUUUUCGGAUCGUAAAACUCUGUUGUUAGAGAAGAACAAGGAUGAGAAGAGAAUGUUCAUCCCUUGACGGUAUCUAACCAGAAAGCCACGGCUAACUACGUGCCAGCAGCCGCGGUAAUACGUAGGUGGCAAGCGUUGUCCGGAUUUAUUGGGCGUAAAGCGAGCGCAGGCGGUUCUUUAAGUCUGAUGUGAAAGCCCCCGGCUCAACCGGGGAGGGUCAUUGGAAACUGGAUCACUUGAGUGCAGAAGAGGAGAGUGGAAUUCCAUGUGUAGCGGUGAAAUGCGUAGAUAUAUGGAGGAGCACCAGUGGCGAAGGCGGCUCUCUGGUCUGUAACUGACGCUGAGACUCGAAGGCGUGGGUAGCAAACAGAA
rnacentral:rRNA from 1 species